rnacentral:rRNA from 1 species
AUUGAACGCUGGCGGCAUGCCUUACACAUGCAAGUCGAACGGCAGCACGGGAGCAAUCCUGGUGGCGAGUGGCGAACGGGUGAGUAAUAUAUCGGAACGUGCCCGGUCGUGGGGAUAACGUAGCGAAAGCUACGCUAAUACCGCAUACGAUCUACGGAUGAAAGCGGGGGAUCGCAAGACCUCGCGCGAUUGGAGCGGCCGAUAUCAGAUUAGGUAGUUGGUGAGGUAAAGGCUCACCAAGCCGACGAUCUGUAGCUGGUCUGAGAGGACGACCAGCCACACUGGGACUGAGACACGGCCCAGACUCCUACGGGAGGCAGCAGUGAGGAAUAUUGGACAAUGGGCGCAAGCCUGAUCCAGCCAUGCCGCGUGCAGGAUGACGGUCCUAUGGAUUGUAAACUGCUUUUAUACAGGAAGAAACACUACUUCGUGAAGUAGCUUGACGGUACUGUAAGAAUAAGGAUC